AAUUGUUACAUUGGAUUCGGCUUGCUUUUAUUGUACAUCGUCUCCAGUUCAACUCUAACUUUAGAACAACGUGAUGUCCGGGUCUAUUCUGUUGAUGAUAAUCUUGGUUAUGGUAGACGGUUCGAUGGAAUUGGUGGUAUAAGUGGAACUGCGACUUCUAAACUUCUUCGAAAUUACCCAGAUCAACAAAGAAAUGAAAUCCUCGAUUUCCUUUUCAAGCCCAAUUUUGGUGCCUCGAUAAAGAUUCUGAAAGUUGAAGUAGGGGCCGAUGCUGACACGACUGUUGGAACUGAAUCAUCUCACAUGCAUUAUCCAUGGGAUGAAAAUUAUAACCGUGGUUACGAAUGGUGGAUGAUGUCCGAAGCUAAAAAGAGAAAUCCCAAUAUCAAGUUGUAUGGUUUACCAUGGGGUUAUCCAGGAUGGCUACGGGAUGCCCAAGGAACACCAUGGGGAUUUCCUGAACGCACUGCCACUUAUAUGGUGAAAUGGAUCCGAGGAGCUAAACUGUACCAUAACCUGGACAUUGAUUAUAUU